UGUAAUACCACUCAAAUAUUUUUGUGCUACAUAUGAAGCUGCAGCCAGGAGACCGUUAGCUUAGCUCAGCAUAAAGACUGCAAACAGGGGGAUGCAGCUAGCCUGCCUCUUUUCCAAAGAACGAGGGGACAACUCUCAAGUGAGUAGCUGUGAUGUCAUCCCAAGUCCCAUACGCAAGCUGAGCUGUAUCCAGCCCAGACAGAGGCAGACCGAGAGGAAAACACACCAGGCUGAUGAAAGGAUAUGAUGCACAUACUGAGAGCAUUCUUGAAGACAGGAGAGACGACACACUGUUCAGCACAGCCAUGCUUCAUCAAGCUGAAGAGAGGAUAACUAACAGGACACAAGGAGGAACUCAUUAAUCAAAGCUUCAGUAUGAGCAGGCCCUAAGGUGAUCCUGCCCCCAGCCAAAGCAAAAAUCAAAGUGCUGCAGUAUCAUCUGAGGAGCAAGUCACCAUAAAGAAAUCCUGCAAGAAGCCUCGUUGGAAAGAUUGUAGCACACGGAUUCAGCUCCGCUCUCUGAGAACCCUUGCUCUGUGUUUUUUCUUGCAAAGGCAACCGCUGUAAAUAUUUACAUGCCGUGUCUGGCAGCUCUUGGAGACGGAGAACACCUUGAGAUUAUAUGACUGUGACCUUUUAACUCAUGGUAACCCUCAUCUGGCCCUGCAGGCAGGGCUGGAUGUGAGACGUGUGGGUUUUUUGGUUGCUGAAACAGGAGGGAACUCGAUCAGUAGCUGUACUCUUUGUUUCGCGAAUUUGAGCUGAGCCUCCCAUUUCCUGCUUGUCUAUUUUUUCUUCAUCAUUGCAAGCGUUUCAUAGGAGAAAACCCAGAUUCAAACAUUCCAGGGUAACUCCCCACUUAACAUGCCAAUAUAUUGCCAUUUAACUGAAUGUUUGCAAAAUAUCAUAAAUCAUUUAUUUCCUUGUUUUUUUCAUUUAGCUGGAAAAUAUAUGGAAAAUAUGUGGUUGUGUUUUUACAAUGUAUGAAACAGCAAUAAUUUAAACACACACACACACACACACACACACACACACACACACACACACACACACACACACACACACACACACACACACACACACACACACACACACACACACACACACACACACACACACACACACACACACACACACACACACACAAAAUGGGCUGUGCCAUGUGUUCCCAGCUGGUUGACAUGUUGACUGUGAGGGUGAGCAGAACCAGCCGCAGGGCCAUGGAGCUCACCACCUACCCACAGAUGCUCCAGGGAGACUACCACAGAGUGACCGGCCUCCACUACAUGUCCUCUUUCUCGGAUGCUGAGGACUGCUGUGAUGACAGCAGCUCAGGCAGCUCUCUCACCUUGGACUGGCAGACACAGGGCACUGAUGGCUGACACUCGACCUAGACAUGUUAUACUACCAAGACGUAAAUAAACAUGAUAGAAUACACAGGACGUGUGGUCUAUUUGCAAUAAACGGGAUGAUUUGAAUUGAGGAGAAAUAGGAUUUGAGAGGUCUCUUAUUUUAAUUUUUUUACAAUAUUCUCUUUAUUAGGAAUUCUUUUUUGAUUUUCCGAUACGUUUUUUUAAUUGUAUAUUUUAUUACCCUGAUAUCUUGUCACCCAGUGGUGGAAGAAGUACUCAGAUCCUUUACUUAAGUAAAAAUAAAAAUUCUGUGGUCUAAAAAUACUCCAUCCUUACUAGAGUAAAAGUACACAAAUAUUAUCAGCA